rnacentral:rRNA from 1 species
AUUGAACGCUGGCGGCAGGCGUAACACAUGCAAGUCGAGCGGAGAUGAGGUGCUUGCACCUUAUCUUAGCGGCGGACGGGUGAGUAAUGCUUAGGAAUCUGCCUAUUAGUGGGGGACAACAUUCCGAAAGGGAUGCUAAUACCGCAUACGUCCUACGGGAGAAAGCAGGGGAUCUUCGGACCUUGCGAUAAUAGAUGAGCCUAAGUCGGAUUAGCUAGUUGGUGGGGUAAAGGCCUACCAAGGCGACGAUCUGUAGCGGGUCUGAGAGGAUGAUCCGCGACACUGGGACUGGGACACGGCCCAGACUCCUGCGGGUGGCAGCAGUGGUGAAUAUUGGAGAAGGGGGAGAACCCUGAUCCAGCCAUGCCGCGUGUGUGAAGAAGGCCUUAUGGUUGUAAAGCACUUUAAGCGAGGAGGAGGCUACUGAGACUAAUACUCUUGGAUAGUGGACGUUACUCGCAGAAUAAGCACCGGCUAACUCUGUGCCAGCAGCCGCCGCCGUAA